rnacentral:rRNA from 1 species
GACGAACGCUGGCGGCGUGCUUAACACAUGCAAGUCGAACGGAAAGGCCCUUCGGGGUACUCGAGUGGCGAACGGGUGAGUAACACGUGGGUGAUCUGCCCUGCACUUUGGGAUAAGCCUGGGAAACUGGGUCUAAUACCGAAUAGGACCACGCGCUUCAUGGUGUGUGGUGGAAAGCUUUUGCGGUGUGGGAUGGGCCCGCGGCCUAUCAGCUUGUUGGUGGGGUAAUGGCCUACCAAGGCGACGACGGGUAGCCGGCCUGAGAGGGUGACCGGCCACACUGGGACUGAGAUACGGCCCAGACUCCUACGGGAGGCAGCAGUGGGGAAUAUUGCACAAUGGGCGCAAGCCUGAUGCAGCGACGCCGCGUGAGGGAUGACGGCCUUCGGGUUGUAAACCUCUUUCAAUAGGGACGAAGCGCAAGUGACGGUACCUAUAGAAGAAGCACCGGCCAACUACGUGCCAGCAGCCGCGGUAAUACGUAGGGUGCGAGCGUUGUCCGGAAUUACUGGGCGUAAAGAGCUCGUAAGUGGUUUGUCGCGUUGUUCGUGAAAACUCACAGCUUAACUGUGGGCGUGUGGGCGAUACGGGCAGACUAGAGUACUGCAGGGGAGACUGGAAUUCCUGGUGUAGCGGUGGAAUGCGCAGAUAUCAGGAGGAACACCGGUGGCGAAGGCGGGUCUCUGGGCAGUAACUGACGCUGAGGAGCGAAAGCGUGGGGAGCGAACAGGAUUAGAUACCCUGGUAGUCCACGCCGUAAACGGUGGGUACUAGGUGUGGGUUCCUUCCUUGGGAUCCGUGCCGUAGCUAACGCAUUAAGUACCCCGCCUGGGGAGUACGGCCGCAAGGCUAAAACUCAAAGGAAUUGACGGGGGCCCGCACAAGCGGCGGAGCAUGUGGAUUAAUUCGAUGCAACGCGAAGAACCUUACCUGGGUUUGACAUGCACAGGACGCCGGCAGAGAUGUCGGUUCCCUUGUGGCCUGUGUGCAGGUGGUGCAUGGCUGUCGUCAGCUCGUGUCGUGAGAUGUUGGGUUAAGUCCCGCAACGAGCGCAACCCUUGCCCUAUGUUGCCAGCGGGUUAUGCCGGGGACUCGUAGGAGACUGCCGGGGUCAACUCGGAGGAAGGUGGGGAUGACGUCAAGUCACCAUGCCCCUUAUGUCCAGGGCUUCACACAUGCUACAAUGGCCGGUACAAAGGGCUGCGAUGCCGUGAGGUGGAGCGAAUCCUUUCAAAGCCGGUCUCAGUUCGGAUCGGGGUCUGCAACUCGACCCCGUGAAGUCGGAGUCGCUAGUAAUCGCAGAUCAGCAACGCUGCGGUGAAUACGUUCCCGGGCCU